GAGCAUACUCUUGCUGUCUUCCCUGCACAUCUUUCAAACAGUGGCUGGUAUUUUCACCUAACAGUGAGACUGGUGGGAAAUGUCAGCAAUGGUGACUUUGGGGUAUAGUUUCUCCCAGUAAGGAAGGCAAAUUCUACAAAAAGAAUGAAGCACAGCAGACAAAGUGAAGCGCUGGUUUUUACAAGUAAAUGGAGUUGUUUCAUUCUUUUGUGCCUUGUGCCCAUGAUGAGAAAUAAGAAGGCAUUUGGCCAUAUAUGGAGGCUGUUUUGGUUGUCACAACUACAUGGAGGGUACUACUGCAUCCAGUUGGUAGAAGUCAGGAAUGCUAAUAAACAAUGCACAUAACAGCUAUGCACACACAAAAAAUUAUCCAGCCCAAAUUAAAUUUGUUGGCCUUGAUUACCUUUUACCUUCAAAUUAGUUUAGCCCUACUGUUAAUGUAACACACUUUGUGGGGGUCUUUGUGCAAACCCUGUGUAUUCAAUUCAAUCUCACCUCUCUGUUAGGUUGGAACUCAAAUAUCCCUCAACACUGAACUCUGACUGAUUCAUUCUAUUUGGUAGUCAUUCUUUGUCCACCCUUGUGUAGUUUCAGUCAGUGCACAGCUAACUUAGUAUUAUUUCAAGUCUCAAGAAGAUGCUCGGCAGAUUUCUGGAGCUCUUUUCCUUUAGGAUUCUGCCCCACAAAUUCCAUCUGUUCUUCCUCCCCAAAGUAUGAUGCCUUUUUCCUCGAUUCAGCAAGACCAUUAUACUCUGCUUGGGUUGACUCUCCUAAAUUGUAGUCCAGAACAUGGCGAACAGAAGCCCAGAGUGAUCAUGUGGUUCAUCUUGGUUGUUCUUUGUCUCUCAAAGAUGGCAGUCUUGUGCUACACAUCAUGUAAUGUCUGAAAAUAAUUGCUUCCUGUAUUUUGUUCAGUUUUCAUGUUGUUCAUGAAAGAGACCAAUCUGAUAUUAGAUCCUUUAUCAUGGCUACAAGUGGAAAUUUGAGAUGCAUAUUUUGAGAAAACUGAAGAGAUUGACUCAUUUUCUCAUUUUUGUAUGGCCAUAUUGGAGUUGACCUGAAAUAACUUCUUUAAAAUUAAUGUUUUCACAUUAAUAAAUACUCUCAGUGUAACAUCUGGCAAUAGAGCAAUAAAGGCUGAAAUUGAAAAAGUACUGCUGAGGCUAUUAUUACAAAGAAGCAAAAAUACUUUUUAUGUUUUUGAUCCUUAGAGCACUUUUUUUUUUGAGGUGGAGUCUCCCUCCAUCACCCAAGGUGGAGUACAGUAGUGCCGUCUUGGCUCACUGUGAAUUCUGCCUCCCUGGUUUAAGCAAUUCUCUUGCCUCAGUCUCUU
rnacentral:lncRNA from 1 species